rnacentral:rRNA from 1 species
CUUAAUUUAUUAUUAUAGUGUCUGCCCAAUGAACAAUUUUAAUGGCCGCAUAUGUGCUAAGGUAGCAUAAUAAUUAGUUUUUUAAUUGGAAAAUAGAAUGAAAGAUGCCACCGAGGAUAAAAAUAAACCUUUGCAAACGAAUUUUUAAUGUCAGUGAAAAUACUGGUUAAAUUUAUUUAGACAAAAAGACCCUAUGAAGCUGCUAGAUAAUAAAAUAAUUAUAAUUAGGUUAAUAAAUUUGUUUUUUGGGGUAAAAAAUAAUAGUUAUAUUUUAAAGUAUUAGUUUAACUUAGCCUUUAGGAAUUUUGACAAAGCUCCUCUAGGGAUAACAGCAUUAUGCUUAUAAGAGUUCUUAUCAGAAUAAGCGUUUGUGACCUCGAUGU